rnacentral:misc_RNA from 1 species
GAAAUGCGAUAAGUAAUGUGAAUUGCAGAGCACAGUGAAUCAUCGAAUCUUUGAACGCACAUGGCGCCCGCCGGUAAUCCGGCGGGCAUGCCUGUCCGAGCGUCAUUUCAACCCUCAGAACCCCUCUCUCGGGAGGGCGUUACUGGUGUUGGGGAACGAGCGCCCCCCGCGGCGCCCGUCCCUUAAAUCUAUUGGCGGCUCCGGAGUCUGUCUCCCCUGCGUAGUAUUGCAUCUCGCUUUGGUGACGUCCCCGGGCUGCUGUGGCUCUGCCACGAAACCCCCACUAGGUUGACCUCGGAUCAGGUAGGGAUACCCGCUGAACUUAA